AGAACUCACUGGUUCAGUCUGUACUGAUCCUGGGACUACAGAGUACCCUCACUAGAAGGUUGUGUGUGUGAAAUUCUGAACCAGAGUCCAAAGCCUGUGAGAGAUGAGGUAGCUUGCAGAUCCUUCCAGAAAUGCCAUGUAUUAGCUCCAGGAUGAUGUGGUGAGGAUCAACAUAUUCUAAAAUCACAACCUCUAAAGACUCUCUUCUAUGAGACAUUUCAACUUAUUGGACCUGGAUUCUCUGCCGUGAGAACAACUGUUGUUGGGGGGAGAUGUUGGUGCGGGGUGGUGAAAGUGAGAAGACCGGACCCUGUGUAGCCUUGGUAGGAUUAAAUGGUCUCUGAAACUGUCAUUUGUAAAGUCAGUAUGAAAAUAUCAAGCAUUCACAGAUGCUCAACAGGCCUCUGACAUCUGCAGGGUAUAAAGAAAACCAAUGCAUCCCAGUUUGUUCUACAUGUGAGGUCAACUCCAACGUGAAAAGCCCAGCUAGGAGUAGUGACAUCCCUGUGAGGUCGCCAUCAGAAGUGGUGCGUGUCAGAGGAGGAACAGAAUACAUAGGCUAUGGCUGUAACCAUGUCAAGACACCACCAUUUGCCAUAUAAACCUCAUCCCCUGAACACCUGCACCGGCUUGUCACACA
rnacentral:lncRNA from 1 species